GGACGUUGAUUGAAGACGGUUGACACAAUCUACGUAUAAAAGCGGAUAACAGAUAGAUGAGUCAUGGAUGCUUGGAGAGUCUCGGCUGUCGGUCCCACGUCACACUCGAGGAUAGUUUCUUUUGGGUCUUGUCACUAUUUGGAUGUAUAUUAGUUUUGUGUAUUUUGGUUUUGAACAAGUCGAUGUGUUUUUUUGAGUCUAGUCUGGUGGUUGUAGGUAAUUUAGUUAGUGGCUUUGUCGGUCAUACAUUUGUUUUCUUUUGUGAUUUCCGCUGCGUUUACAUCCAGCCGUGUAGGCUGAGUAUUUAUCGUUCCGUCUUCCGCUGUGUGUGUUUCUAUUUUGUUCCAGCCGUUUAGGCUGAUGGUUAUAGAUGGUGGUUAUGUGUUAUUUCA